rnacentral:snRNA from 1 species
GGUGACGGUGAUCUGGCCACAAUAUCUGUCAAGUCCUUAAUCACCAGGGUUGAUUCAGCUGAUCUGGCUGGCUGGGUGGGUGUCUUCUUUCUCCCUCACCACUCCGUAUGUCUCCCUCCCAAAGCUACAAGCUUGGUAAGAAAGGACAAUCUUUUUUGACAAAGGAGGACCAUUCUCUUUUCAAGGGUAUAUGAGUACCUCUGAGCCCCUCUUAGAACCUCCAAACAAGCUCUUGAGAUCCAUUUGUAGAAGAAAAUAGUGUCGUUAAGCCUCCAAGACUCCAGACGCACCCAAAUGAGGCAUCGUAUAUGUCAGUCUGCUUUUCUUA